rnacentral:rRNA from 1 species
CAGCCGCCGCGGGAAUACGAAGGGUGCAAGCGUUAAUCGGAAUUACUGGGCGUAAAGCGUGCGUAGGCGGUUUGUUAAGUCUGUUGUGAAAUCCCCGGGCUCAACCUGGGAAUGGCAAUGGAUACUGGCAAGCUAGAGUGUGUCAGAGGAUGGUGGAAUUCCCGGUGUAGCGGUGAAAUGCGUAGAGAUCGGGAGGAACAUCAGUGGCGAAGGCGGUCAUCUGGGACAACACUGACGCUGAGGCACGAAAGCGUGGGGAGCAAACAGGAUUAGAUACCCCUGUAGUCCCUGUCUCUUAUAC